GCCCUGGUGGUCUAGUGGUUAAGAUUUGGCACUCUAGCUGCUGCGGCCUCGGUUCGUUUCCCAGUCAGGGAA
rnacentral:tRNA from 1 species